AUUUCUCAGACUUUUUAGUUGAUAUAAUUGUGGGGCUGUUUCGAAUUCUAUAUGCAGUAGUGCGUUAUGUUCUUAUAAUUGUCGUCAGGCCAAUUUACUUGUUUGCGUGAGCCUUUCUAUUUAUCGGUUAUUUCUGCCCGAGCUCAAACUGUAGUCGUUAUGAAGGAACCAGAUGGAUUUGCAAUUUCAUCCUCGGAACAUUCAAAUGAUCUAUCCACAAAUGGGAGAGCGAAACUUCAAUGGACACCCUGUGAACUCCGUCCAUUGAGUAUGAUCCGAAGAUUCAUCUGGAUUGCCCUUAAUCAUCAUGGCAUCAUACAUCUAGAUGGUUUUUCAACUGAAUGGUAAAACUUUCAAUAGUGAAGUGCCAUUACAUGAUUGUGGAUAAGCACAGCACCUUAAAGUACUCUUUGCUUGUGAAUUUAUCUGAACUCGAGAACCACAUGAAUUUACAUUUUUAGUAAUCAGUUCUGUCUAUAGAAUUUGUCGAAAUUAUUUUGACUAAAAUUAAUUUUAAAUAAACCGAUAGAGGUUUCAAAACAA